UAAAUCUAAGACUAUGUUAUUGACUUACUGCAAGUUUAAAAGAGCAUUGUAACCUGGGUAAUGAAGCUGCGAUGUGAUGGGAUUGUAACUGGAACAUAUUACCUACACAGAAGGAGGAUCUCAACAGUUCAAGCAUUAUCUACUUCUAAGGCCAUUUUAAGUAUAUAACAACUUAAAAUAUAAAUCACAGAAAAAUAAUUGCACAGAGGAAGACAGCAAAAAAAGGAGGGCAAAGCGUCAUUUUAAGAAAGACAAGGACAUUGAACAGGUGAGAACAGAAGGAAAUGAAAUGCUUACCGAGCUCAUUCAACAACAGGGCUGUAAAGAGAACACAUAGAAGACAGACAAGGGAUAAGAAACAAAAAUGAAUAGUGAUAAUGGAGAUGUCAACAGAAAGAAGAACUGUAUGGCUUGAGGGGCACUCAGAGGCAGUCAUUUUAUGGGCUUGAUAAUCAUUUAGGAAGCGCCUCCAUGCUGGUUGGUAAUGGUGCCGCAUAGCUGGCACAGUCUUUAGUGAUUUAUUGAAAGACC